rnacentral:rRNA from 1 species
CCUACGGGAGGCAGCAGUGAGGAAUAUUGGACAAUGGAGGCAACUCUGAUCCAGCCAUGCCGCGUGCAGGAAGACUGCCCUAUGGGUUGUAAACUGCUUUUAUAUAGGAAGAAACCUACUUACGUGUAAGUAGCUGACGGUACUAUAAGAAUAAGGAUCGGCUAACUCCGUGCCAGCAGCCGCGGUAAUACGGAGGAUCCAAGCGUUAUCCGGAAUCAUUGGGUUUAAAGGGUCCGUAGGUGGAUAAUUAAGUCAGAGGUGAAAUCUUGCAGCUCAACUGUAAAAUUGCCUUUGAUACUGGUUAUCUUGAGUUAUUAUGAAGUAGUUAGAAUAUGUAGUGUAGCGGUGAAAUGCAUAGAUAUUACAUAGAAUACCAAUUGCGAAGGCAGAUUACUAAUAAUCAACUGACACUGAUGGACGAAAGCGUGGGUAGCGAACAG